UACGUAGGGUGCAAACGUUGCUCGGAAUUAUUGGGCGUAAAGCGCACGUAGGCGGCUUGGCAAGUCGGAUGUGAAAUCCCUCGGCUCAACCAAGGAAGUGCAUCCGAAACUGCCGAGCUUGAGUACUUAAGAGGAUCGCGGAAUUCCCGGUGUAGAGGUGAAAUUCGUAGAUAUCGGGAGGAACACCAGUGGCGAAGGCGGCGAUCUGGGAAGAUACUGACGCUGAGGUGCGAAAGCGUGGGGAGCAAACAGG
rnacentral:rRNA from 1 species